GGAGAUCGAGACCAUCCUGGCUAACAAGGUGAAACCCCGUCUCUACUAAAAAUACAAAAAAUUAGCCGGGCGCGGUGGCGGGCGCCUGUGGUCCCAGCUACUCGGGAGGCUGAGGCAGGAGAAUGGCGUGAACCCGGGAAGCGGAGCUUGCAGUGAGCCGAGAUUGCGCCACUGCAGUCCGCAGUCCGGCCUGGGCGACAGAGCGAGACUCUGUCUCAAAAAAAAAAAAAAAAAAAAAA
rnacentral:lncRNA from 1 species